CUAUCACAGAAAGAAUAAAACAGAUGCCUAAAGGCUGGAGAAACAGUGACAUGGAGCCUGGAGUAGCAGCUACCAGCUUAUAUCACAAAUGGAGAAAGAUAAAAUGAGCAGGUAUCACUGGAAAACGGAGGAGCAAAAUGGAUGAGCUGCAGAACAGUAAUGGGAAUUCAGUUCCAGUGGUUCUGAAGUGUAUGGCUUGGUGAUAAUGAAACCUUCAGUAAAUGGCAGAAGCAAGAUGCAUACCUCCAGGUAAAAAGCCAGUAGCUGGAGGAGUGUUGCGGAUCCCAGAGAUACCAGUUCAGCAGUAGAUGAUCCCAACUUGGAGCCAGGAACAUUCCUCUUUCCAACUCUGUGCUACAACGAUGUUCUGAUGCAGUUAAUGUUCAAACACAUUGGCUUGGAAUACCCUCACGAAAGCAAGAACCCAUGUGAGCAAAGGGGAGGACACUUCUACAGGACCACAAACAAGUAAGAGAAAUUAGCAGUGGGAGAGUAUUUUCAGGGGGCAAGGAUAAGACAAUGAUGAGACAAGCUUUCCCAGAUUGAUUCAAUUUAUAUCUUUGGAAAGUACACA
ensembl:lncRNA